UCUCACCACUUUCUCUCUCUUUUCCUCUAAUUCUCUUUCGUUUUUAUUUUAUUUUAUUUUAUUUUCUCAACACACCGUCAUCCGAAACCUUCUUUCCAUGCUCUCCAAGAAAAAAAUGUAAGUUUAUUUAUACAUUUAUUUUUUUUAUUUUUUCUUGAUUUAAUUUAAAUAAUAAUUGUUUGUAAGAUUUUGAGUUGUUAAUUAUUAUGAAAUUUGGGCUCUUGUUAGUGAAAUAUAUUGGAUUGAUUGAUAAUUGAUAUGAGUUUUGCUUUUGAAUUAUUUAAUUUAGGUAAUAUUUUGGAUUCUUGGGUUUUACGUAUUAAAUUGGGUUUUAAUUUGAGUCGUGGAUUUGAAUUUUUAUAUUAAAUUAGACUUGAAUUAUGGAAUAUGAAAUUUAGAUCUAAUUAAAUUUAUUUUGAUUUGUUAUAUUUAGGCUUUGGUUUGCGGCCUAUCAUAUGGAAUGUAUCUGUCAUACUUUAUUUAUCAAUUUAAGCUUGAACGAAAUUUAUUGCAAAUUCCAUAUCCAUAUUCUUAGAUGUGUACACAAAUAUAUUAAUCAUGAGUGGUUUCACAAGAUUAAAAGAUUGCCCCAUAAAAAAAAAAGAAAAAAAAAUUGGCAUUAAUUUAUAGGCUAUUUACAACUAUUUUCAUAGUUGAUAAUGAAAUUAUUUUUUUUAGUAAAAGUUAUGAUUCACAUUAAUAUCAAGGUUGGUAAAGUUUGAUAAAAAUAGUUAACACAAUUUGAAUCUAAUAGAUUUUUUUUGUAGGUUUAGAUUGAAUAUAAUUGUGUUUUAAUCAAAUUUGCAUCAACCUUAUUUUGUUUAAUAAACAUCUUGGUUUUUUUUUAAUCUAUAUAACUUAAAUUCAUCUCAAAUUGACCUAUUUAUGUUGAUUAACUUUAUUAUAAUUAUAAUCUAUUUAACUUAUCUAAAAUUUUAUUUUGAAUAAAUAAGUCAAUUGGUAAAUAUAUCCAGUUACAAGGGUGAUCAUAUUGAUUUAAAUAAAACUUAAUUUGACUUAAUUAUUAAAUGGGUUACACGUUGUUUUAACUGUUUAAUAAUUAUGUAAUAUUUAAGUUCAUACCAUUAACCUAAUUAUUACUCAUGUCAUAUUUAGAUUAACUUAUUUAAUUUCGAGUGUCUGAAUUUCAAAGCAAUAUAAACAAAGCCCACCAAUAUAAAUCAACAACUCUAAUUUAGCAUUCAAAAAGAUCAACUAUGGUGGCUUCAAGAGAGACAUUGUUGCACACGUUAUCAAUGUUUUACAUUACGACAUUGGAAAUUCUUUUCCAAAGGUCAAAAAAGUUCUACAUUUUUAUAAGGCAUAAGCUCUGUGAAAGCUGAAUCAACCAAUAAGCUACAACAAAAACUUCGAUAACUAAUAUUUCAAAUUAUAUUAGGCAAAUUAUGUGCUACAAAAUUUCUUAGAAAUCUGCAUAUUUUCUAUGAUUCAAUCAUUAUUUUGUUAAAGUAAUUAAUGGGGGAAAAAUAGAGAAAAUUUCAAAAAACAUAGUAAAAAUAUUAAAGACUAAUUUUGAAAAAAGUUGAAUAGUUUUUAUUUUUUUUUAAAAAAAAUUAUUUAAGUAAACAAAUUUCAACAGUUUAAUAUUUUGUGAAAGUCAUUUUUGAAUUUAUCUUCAAAAAAUAUUUUUCAACAAAAUUUUUUAAAAUCUCUUGUUUGAUUUUGAUCGUAAAAAAAAAGAGAGUCAACCAUGUGAGCUAUUUACAAGUUGGCCCAAACCAGCCUCACUCUUAGGUCCAUACUACCACUCUUCUCAUGUAACCACCGAAAUAAAAUCCCUAAAAUUCAUGAAUGUCAAUCCAACUAUCCAAGAAAUAAUUUAUGAUUUUGAUUAAUUUUACUUGAAUUCUUUGACAUAUGAAAAUUUAAUGAUAUUUAAAGAGAGAAAGAAAUCAAUCCCCAUUGAAUAAAUUCAAUAUUUUUUGCACUUUANNNNNNNNNNNNNNNNNNNNNNNNNNNNNNNNNNNNNNNNNNNNNNNNNNNNNNNNNNNNNNNNNNNNNNNNNNNNNNNNNNNNNNNNNNNNNNNNNNNNAAUCAAUCCCCAUUGAAUAAAUUCAAUAUUUUUGCACUUUAUUGUUUCUAUAAGCUAGUAUUGGAAACAAAUUAGAAAACUAGAAAUUUGCUACACUAUUUGUAGCACUAGAAAUUUUAUAGUUGAAAAAGUUUAAGUUCCUUCAUUAAUAAAAUUAUAAUUCAUAUUUCCAAAACAUUAACCAUGGAACACUUUUAUUUUCCCCGUAUUAUAGCAUUAUUGUAAUAUAAUAAAUACCUUAGGUUUUUAUUUGGGUACAAUACUUGCUUUAAAAUUAGUUGUUAUGAACAUAAAUUUUUUUCCAAAAAGAAUACUAAUUGUUGCAUUUUUACUUAUUUUAUUUCUUAUUAUUACUUACAAAUUUUGUAGCCAAAUUUUAAACCACCGAACAAAUUGCAUAGACACAAUUUUUUAUUUUGAAAAUGUUGCUCAAAAUCUUAAAUUUGUUGAAUUAGCACGAAACUUUUGUGGAAAAUAAAUGAAGAAAAAGAAAAUUACGAAUGAGUUUUGAGGCACUUCAAAAUCAAGUUUGAAGCAAUUUUAAUUUGAGAUCAAGCAUUCACAUCUAAAACUAUCUCUUAGGCACUUUUGCUCAAGUCUUCAUAUCAUACUGCACCUCAUGGGUGCUUCUAUAUAGCUAAUUGAUCGAGGAUGUGCUUUUUAAUCUUAGUUUCUUUUCCUCUCUCACAUCCACUUUUUUUCCCUUUCUCUUCUCCAUAUGAUAUGUUGAACUCUUCCUAGAAACUUGAAAUCUUGUAAAAUGGUUUAAAAGACCUUGAAAACACAUAAGUCUCUUCAAACAAUUUGCUAACAAUUAUUUAAGUUAAGAAAGUUGAUUAAUACUAAAUUAAUAUUUUAAAAGCAACUUUUUAACCUCAAAACAUAUGCAUAAUUGAAUGUUAAUCAUCAAAGACAAAUGUCAGGUUUAAUUUAACCCAAGGCUUGAGCUUAUGUAAAGUUAAGGCUCGAGCCCAAAUUAAGACCUAACUUGAGUUAAAGUUCAAGCAAACAUCAAUACCCAAUUUAAGCUUUUGCUAAUUCUUGUUCAACAAUAAUAUAUAAAGGAAGAAUUAGGAGAUAGAGGAAUUGGAGGAUACAAUAGAGAUUAUACUCACAUUUCUACAAAUUAAUAAAGAUUUCAAUUUACUCGUAGUUUUUCUAUUUAAGAGAAUUUUGUGUGUAUAUAUACAUAUAGCAUAAGAAGUGAAAAAAAAUUGGUGUUAUUAUUGUUCAAGGAGAAUAAUAAAGAAUUGUAUACCAUGGGUUCAAAUUCAUAACAAUUCAAUAAGUGGAAAAUACAACAUAAAUUUCUCAUAGAUAGAUAUAUAUAUAUAUAUAUAUAUGGUAAGGGAUAAUACAAGACUUAAAAACACAACCUAAUAUACAAUCGGUGUACAACAAUCAUAUAUCUAUUCUAUUUUUCUAUCAUAAUGUGUUAAAUAACAAUGGUUGUACAUCAAAUGAAGAUUCUUUAGUGUCAUCUAAACAUGAUCCCCUGGAAGUUGAAGUAUCAUCCAUAUCCAAAAACUCUGUUAUUUCAGUUACAACACAUGCAUUUUCUUGGAAAUUUUGAUCAACAUUCAAAUGUAGGGCAGACACUCUAAUGUUAUCUAUUUCUGUGGUAACUUCUUUCAUCGUAGGUCUUUUCCUUCCAUUCAAAUUUAAGCAUCGACCUGCAAGCUUAGCAAAUGUCAUGAUGUCCUCUUUCCGACCUUCCUUCACAACUCGAGCAUCAAGA
rnacentral:lncRNA from 1 species